rnacentral:rRNA from 1 species
CACCUGUUUAUCAAAAACAUGUCUUAUUGAAAAUAAUUUUAAGUCAAUCUGCCCAAUGAAAUACUUAAAUGGCUGCAGUAUAAUUGACUGUACAAAGGUAGCAUAAUCAAUUGAUUUUUAAAUGAAAUCUGGAAUGAAAGGAUUAAUGAAAUAUAUACUGUCUCAUAUUUAUUAUAUAAAUUUAAAUUUUUAAUAAAAAUGUUAAAAUAAAUUUAUGGGACGAUAAGACCCUAUAGAAUUUUAUAUUUUAUUAUUUUAUUUUAUGAAAAUUUUAAAUUUAAUAAAAUAUUUAGUUGGGAGAAUUAUUAAAUUUAAAAAAUUUUAAUUAAUAAUAACUUAGAUUAAAGAAAAAAUAAUGAUUUUUAAUUUAAAAAUAUUAGAAUAAAUUACCUUAGGGAUAACAGCGUUAUAUUUUUUUAUAGGUCAUAUAGAAAAAAAUGAUUGCGACCUCGAUGUUGAAUUAAGAUAAAUUUUAAAUGCAGGAGUUUAAUAAUUAAGUCUGUUCGACUUUUAAAAUCUUACAUGAUUUGAGUUCAAAUCGACGUAAGUCAGAUUGGUUUCUAUCUAUA